rnacentral:rRNA from 1 species
UGGGGAAUAUUGGACAAUGGGCGAAAGCCUGAUCCAGCCAUGCCGCGUGAGUGAUGAAGGCCUUAGGGUUGUAAAGCUCUUUCGGUAGGGAAGAUAAUGACGGUACCUACAGAAGAAGCCUCGGCUAACUUCGUGCCAGCAGCCGCGGUAAUACGAAGGGGGCUAGCGUUGUUCGGAUUUACUGGGCGUAAAGCGCACGUAGGCGGUUUGUUAAGUCAGAGGUGAAAUCCCGGAGCUCAACUCCGGAACUGCCUUUGAUACUGGCAAGCUAGAGUCCGGAAGAGGUAAGUGGAACUCCUAGUGUAGAGGUGGAAUUCGUAGAUAUUAGGAAGAACACCAGUGGCGAAGGCGGCUUACUGGUCCGGAACUGACGCUGAGGUGCGAAAGCGUGGGGAGCAAACA